CGUAAGCCAGGUUGGUUUCUAUCUUUAGUAAAUUUUAAUAUUUUAGUACGAAAGGACCAAAUAUUAGAUAUAUAGUUAUUUAUUAUUGAAUAAUAUUAAAUACUAUUUUGGCAGAAAAGUGUAAUAAAUUUAGAAUUUAUAAAUGUGAUUUAUCACAAAUAGUAUUGUAUUUAUUUGAAAUUAUUUUGUUUAUUAUUAGAAGAUUAUUAUUGAUUAUUUUUGUGUUAGUAAGAGUUGCUUUUUAACUUU
rnacentral:rRNA from 1 species